GGAGUAGAGCUCAGUGGUAAGAGUGCUGGCUUAGCAUGCGCGAGGUCCUGGGUUCAAGCCCCAGUGUCUCCA
rnacentral:tRNA from 1 species